ACAGACUUCACUAAUAAGUCACACCACCUCAGUCUGCUCAAGAAGAAAGCAAAGGGAGAAUGCAGAAACAGCAUGGCUUUUAGCUUCUCACACAGUGUCUGGCUUUCUGAGGAAGUGGAAGCAGAAUUUCUCAUAUCCAGUGUCCUGCCUCAGUGGUGCAAGCUGCAACAAUGUCUGUGCCAAGUGACAGAGGAAUUAGGUUCUUACCAGGGCAGCCAUUAGCUGGAACUGAAAACACAGAGGUAUUAAGAACAACUGGAAGUUUUGGAAGAUAGUUUCAAAUUAAUCACAAUGAAAAUAGCAUUUAUUUCAGGUUUAUUUUCGGACACCAGUAUGUGGAAAAUGGUAAUAAUAAUAAAUUUGAGACCCGGCUCAAUAAUGAUUUUUCUCUGCAAUGGUGGCAACUUUAAUCUUCCCGAAUUCCUACUCUCUUCCACUGGAUGUUGCAGGAAAGCAUGAGAAUGCAUUAUUGGUGGACUAGACAUUUUGAGAAACUUUCAAAACUGAAAUCAAGCAGGGAUUGGAUACAUCAAAAACAAAAAAGAAACACUCCUGAGAAAAGGAUUGGAAGAUGGACCAAGGCACUUCAGAGUAAAACAAAUAUUGAAAUAUUUCAAAUUGCAUCCUUAUUUCAUCUGUUCAUCAAGAGGAGUCUUAACUCUAUGAGUUUUGUCUGCAUUCUGCCUCUUCUUCAUUUAAAAUGAAUAAUUGUGUAUUUCAAGUGAAAUGUCUACAUUUUACUGAUCUUUGAUAUAGUGUAAAGAGUUGUGCUUCACAACCUCUUCUAAUGUUUACUUAUUUUCAUAUCUGUGGUUUCACUGAAUGCUUUACUCUCAUUUUUACCUUGACUUUCUUACCUUUUUUCUUGGUUGGAUUUUUCUGAGCUUUAUCUAUUUUCUUG
rnacentral:lncRNA from 10 species